rnacentral:rRNA from 1 species
UACGUAGGGUGCGAGCGUUAAUCGGAAUUACUGGGCGUAAAGCGUGCGCAGGCGGUUCGCCAAGUCAGGUGUGAAAUCCCCGGGCUUAACCUGGGAAUUGCGCUUGAAACUAGCGGGCUUGAGUGUGGCAGAGGGGGGGUGGGAAUUCCACGUGUAGCAGGUGAAAUGCCGUAGAGAUGUGGAGGAACACCGAUGGCGAAGGCGGCAUCCUGGACCAUUACUGACGCUGAGGCGCGAAAGCUAGGGGAGCAAACGGG